GUGCUCUCUUUGGCAGCAUAUUUACUAAUAUAGGAAGGAUACAUAAAAGGUUUAGCAGAACCCCUGUGCAUGGUUGACAUGCAUAUCUGUGAAGUGUCUCAUAUUAAA
ensembl:snRNA U6 U6 spliceosomal RNA